GGAAACUUGAGAAAGGCUGUCCCUAGUACGAGAGGACCGGGAUGGACGAACCUCUGGUGUGCCAGUUGUACCGCCAGGUGCAUGGCUGGUUGGCUACGUUCGGAAGUGAUAACCGCUGAACGCAUCUAAGCGGGAAGCACGUUUCAAGAUGAGGUUUCCCACCCACUUGAUGGGGUAAGGCCCCCUACAGACCAUGGGGUUGAUAGGCCGGAGGUGUACAGCAGCAAUGCCCAGCCGACCGGUACUAAUAGGCCGAGGGCUUGUCAUAC
rnacentral:rRNA from 1 species